AGAGUUUGAUCCUGGCUCAGGGCGAACGCUGGCGGCGUGCCUUAGACAUGCAAGUCGUGCGAGGAUGUCUCCUUCGGGAGGCAUUCUAAGCGGCGAACGGCGGAGUAACACGUGGGUAACCUGCCCCGAAGACUGGGAUAACCCGGGGAAACUCGGGCUAAUACCGGAUGUGGAUGCUCUGGCUUCGGCUGGGGCAUCUAAAGGCGCAAGCCGCUUCGGGAUGGGCCCGCGGCCUAUCAGGUAGUUGGUGAGGUAACGGCUCACCAAGCCUGCGACGGGUAGCCGGUCUGAGAGGAUGGCCGGCCCGAGGGGCACUGAGACACGGGCCCCACUCCUACGGGAGGCAGCAGUCGGGAAUCUUGGGCAAUGGGCGAAAGCCUGACCCAGCGACGCCGCGUGGAGGACGAAGCCCUUCGGGGUGUAAACUCCUUUUGGCAGGGACGAACACAGACGGUACCUGCCGAAUAAGCCCCGGCUAACUACGUGCCAGCAGCCGCGGUAAUACGUAGGGGGCGAGCGUUGCCCGGAUUUACUGGGCGUAAAGCGCACGUAGGCGGCACCGCAAGUCUGGUGUGAAAUCUCACGGCUCAACCGUGAGGCUGCACCAGAUACUGCGGCGCUCGAGGGCAGGAGAGGGGAUUGGAAUUCCCGGUGUAGCGGUGAGAUGCAUUGAUAUCGGGAGGAACACCAGUGGCGAAGGCGGAUCCCUGGCCUGCUACUGACGCUGAGGUGCGAAAGCUGGGGGAGCGAAAGGGAUUAGAUACCCCCGUAGUCCCAGCCCUAAACGAUGGGUGCUAGGUGUUGGGGGGAUUACCCCUCAGUGCCGCAGCUAACGCAUUAAGCACCCCGCCUGGGGAGUACGGCCGCAAG
rnacentral:rRNA from 1 species